rnacentral:lncRNA from 1 species
UUUGAGAGGGGCUAUCAAAAUAACAAGGCAUAUUAAUACCAGUGGGGGUAGGAAUUCCAGCUAAACACCACAGAAAAUGUGGUCAGGAGAUGAAGGGGGGAAAGACUUAGGAAGCCCCUGAAGGCCUUGCCAGCCUAGUCCUUAAAACCACAGAAGAGCCCCACCCCAACCCCAGCAGGAUGCAAGAGAGACUCGACGUGCCCUUUUCUGCUUCCUGUGGUCCUAGAACUCUGCUCCCGCCUGACCAGCUUUUGCAGAGAGAAGGUCAAGUCAAGUCAAUGGCAGUGGAAGAAAGCAAUCUGCAAACCAUCCUAUGAGCCUGGCCGUAACACCUAUCCUUUCCUGGAACAAGCGCUUUAUACCUCACCUUUGCCCCCUCCUCUCCUCCAGAGCCGCCUCCUUGGAGCUGCCUUAUUUGUGAAGAACUGCUCACAGCAUUUAUCACACUGUAUUUCACCUACUCACUGCCGGCCUCCUUCACCAGGCUGUGAGUACCUUCAUGGCAGGAUUCAGUCCUGAUCAUUUUUUAAUUCCCAGUUCCAAACACUGGCACAUAGUAGACAGCCAAUAAAUGUUAAUUCGCAUUUUAUGUGAUGGAUCCU